rnacentral:piRNA from 1 species
UCUCACACGUAAACAACUGGUCCUGGAGA